GAGGAAACUAAAAGAAAAGAUAGAAACAGGAAAGCGAGGAAAUGUAAAAAAAUAGAAAAGAAACUCACAGUGUGAGAAGAAUAACAAGAAAAAGAAAACCAAAGGGAAAAGAAACCAUUUUAGUAAAGCAGAGAAAGGAAAGGCAGUAAAAGUUAAACUGAAGUUAAUCUGUAGAGCUGAGCAAGACCUCGCUUGUCUCCCCUGCCGCACCAGUUAAGGCUUUUCGCAAGGUUGGGGGUGAACACCUUGCUGGCAAUUCUCCAGAUUGUCUUUUUCAUGGGCUUCUACUGAAUCCAGAGGGAUGACAUUCAAGUCUUCAUCAUCUUGCUGUUGUGGGGGCAAAAUUCGACGACCACACACAAGAGAUUCUACAAGAGAUGUCAGUAAACUCACCGUUGACAUGAGGUAGGAUGCCCUGGCCUUGUCCUGUCCCUUGAGAAGCAUCUGCCCAUGUACACUGGUUGGACAUGGGCCACCUUGAUGGAUCUCGUUGCUGUUAACAGCGAAUAAAAAAUUAGAAAAUA